GACGAACGCUGGCGGCGUGCUUAACACAUGCAAGUCGAACGGAAAGGCUCCAGCUUGCUGGAGUACUCGAGUGGCGAACGGGUGAGUAACACGUGGGUAAUCUGCCCUGCACUCUGGGAUAAGCCUGGGAAACUGGGUCUAAUACUGGAUAUGACCUUUCUCCUUAUGGGGUUUGGUGGAAAGUUUUUCGGUGUAGGAUGAGCCCGCGGCCUAUCAGCUUGUUGGUGGGGUGAUGGCCUACCAAGGCGACGACGGGUAGCCGGCCUGAGAGGGUGAUCGGCCACAUUGGGACUGAGAUACGGCCCAGACUCCUACGGGAGGCAGCAGUGGGGAAUAUUGCACAAUGGGCGGAAGCCUGAUGCAGCGACGCCGCGCGAGGGAUGACGGCCUUCGGGUUGUAAACCUCUUUCAGCAGGGACGAAGCGUAAGUGACGGUACCUGCAGAAGAAGCACCGGCUAACUAGGUG
rnacentral:rRNA from 1 species